rnacentral:rRNA from 1 species
UACGGAGGAUGCAAGCGUUAUCCGGAAUUAUUGGGCGUAAAGCGUCCGCAGGUGGCUAAUCAAGUCUGCGGUCAAAGACCGGGGCUUAACCCUGGAAAGGCCGUGGAAGCUGAUAGAGCUAGAGUACCGUAGGGGUAGAGGGAAUUCCCGGUGUAGCGGUGAAAUGCGCAGAUAUCAGGAGGAACACCAAUAGCGAAGGCAGCUCGCUGGGACGGUACUGACGCUAAGGCGCGAAAGCGUGGGGAGCGAACGGG